rnacentral:lncRNA from 1 species
UUCCUGUAAUUCUUCAUCACACUCGAUCUCAACAUUUUGCUUAGUAUUAUACCCCAUAAUGAUAAUAAAGCCCUGUCCCGUUUUAAGUGUUGUAACCCCUGAUCACUGAUACCCUGUACAAGUGACGUAGGGCCCCGUAACGUAUGUCAAGGCUAUGCCUAAAUUCGUUGGGGUUCUGUUUCGUGACGUAGGGAUAAAGUGGAAUUGGGUUACUAUACUUAAUGUGAGUGCACUAUAUAUUUUAGUAAAUAACCCAGAAGUGAUACUCGAAAUAUAGCAACUCUCCUAAAACACCCCUGACACCCUACACUUCCUGAGAUACAUCCCAUACGUGAAAACCGAGCCCGAAUUAUAAUAUAAUAUUAAAAAUAAAUGGAAAACAAGAAAAAGUAAGCUUAGGCGGGCCGCGUAACCCAACCCAGUUAGUUAACGCGGGCCGCGAGAGGUUCAAAAGGUGGCGCAGCCCGGUGCGGCCACGUGGCCCAACACCCGGCAGGUCUAGUUGGUGACUCGGACAAGCUACGCUGUUGACCAGUGUUGACGCGGGCCGCGUAGACCUUGGUCUACCUUUACGCGGGCCGCGAGAGGACCCGAAAUCAGCACUAUAUAUAGAGGGCCUCGGAUCUUCAGUUGAAUUCGUUCACAAAUCGUUUUCUUUUUCUCAAAUCUAAAGUGUAGGCAUUAUACACGGGUAUAAUACCCCCCUAAUUAGCGAAGCUCUGCCUCGUUGUAAGUAUCAUAACCCAUGGAUACGUAUUAGAUACUCUGCCCGAUUGAUCUAGGGUUCCGUAACGGCUGUCGUGGUCCUGCCCGACGUAGUCGUUGGAAUGCCGUCUCGGGAAGGAUUAUAACCAGGGAAUCACAAAGGAAAGCCCUAUAAUAGCAAUGUGAGUGAUCCUUCUUUUUAUAUACUCAUUUUUGUGAGUUGAUCCACUUUUUGUUAACUGUUUUUACAAAACCUUAAAUAUCUUUCCAUGCGAAUGACAGUUAUUGAGUAUUUGUAAGAAUACAAUUACAGUCGGUAAAUUUGGGGUUUUGUAUACAAAAUUUGUUACCACCUGGUAAAGGAGUAACAUGACCAUAAGUCGGAACGACAUUACCGUGUGGUGGUAAUUGAUAUAACUUGGAAACAAAUGUAAUUGCGGAUGCGCCCUCAAUACUGUUCACUGUGACUUUUUAAUUAAACUUGAUUAAACUGGGAUUCACUCACCAGUAUUUCCUGCUGAUAAAAUGUUUUUAAACACGUGUUUCAGGUAACUUAGUAUGAAGCCAAUAAAAGCCAGCUGGAGAGCACUGAAGGCUUGGAAAAGUGGCUAUAAAGUUACCUAAAAUAAAAUAGAUGUUUUUAUUAAAUAA